UACGAAGGGGGCUAGCGUUGCUCGGAAUCACUGGGCGUAAAGGGUGCGUAGGCGGGUCUUUAAGUCAGGGGUGAAAUCCUGGAGCUCAACUCCAGAACUGCCUUUGAUACUGAAGAUCUUGAGUUCGGGAGAGGUGAGUGGAACUGCGAGUGUAGAGGUGAAAUUCGUAGAUAUUCGCAAGAACACCAGUGGCGAAGGCGGCUCACUGGCCCGAUACUGACGCUGAGGCACGAAAGCGUGGGGAGCAAACAGGGAAUUAAGAUACCCUUGAGUCCC
rnacentral:rRNA from 1 species